UUUCCUCAGAUCCCUGUUGUACUGGAGAGGCUGGGCGCCAUGGACAAGCUGGCCAUGGCGGGAAACGGCGUGGAAAGCCUGGAACUGUCAACGCUGACCAGAAUGAGCCACCUGAAAAACAUCGACCUACGGCCUAACCACAGUCAACAUCUAUCCAGUCCCCAGCCAGCUGACACACAUGGAUCUGUCACGGAACUUGUUGGAAUACCUUCCCGACUGGGUGUGUGACAG